UACACUCCAAGCUAGGCUUGAUGUUGGACGCUGCGGCCCCUCUUAAGGGGCUGCACGUCUGGAACCUGUGGGCGUUUGCCGCCGGACCGCGAGCGUAGCAAGACAUUCAGUCAUUCGCUUCGUUGGCUCCGACGGUGGGCUUGCCAUAUACACACUAUAUCCAAA
rnacentral:misc_RNA from 1 species